UACGAGGGGUGCAAGCGUUGUUCGGAAUUAUUGGGCGUAAAGGGCAAGUAGGUGGUCUUGAAAGUCUACUGUGAAAUCCCUGAGCUUAACUCAGGAAGUGCGGUGGAUACUCCAAGACUAGAGUAUCGGAGGGGUUCGUGGAAUUCCCGGUGUAGCGGUGAAAUGCGUAGAUAUCGGGAGGAACGCCUGAGGCGAAGGCGGGUUACUGGGCUGAUACUGACGCUGAUGCGCGAAAGCCAGGGGAGCAAACGGG
rnacentral:rRNA from 1 species